UACGGGGGGGGGCAAGCGUUGUUCGGAAUUACUGGGCGUAAAGGGCUCGUAGGUGGCCAACUAAGUCAUGCGUGAAAUCCCUCGGCUUAACCGGGGAACUGCGUCUGAUACUGGAUGGCUUGAGUUUGGGAGAGGGAUGCGGAAUUCCAGGUGUAGCGGUGAAAUGCGUAGAUAUCAGGAGGAACACCGAUGGCGAAGGCAGGUCUCUGGGCCACUACUGACGCUGAGAAGCGAAAGCAUGGGGAGCGAACAGG
rnacentral:rRNA from 1 species